CAUGAGAGCUACUAAAAAGGAAGUCUUUGCAGAUAAAUGCAACAGAACUGGUCUCAUAAAGUAACUGAGUACCAGAUUGAAGUCCCAUGUUAGGGUAGGGUUUCCCCAAACCCUUAGUAAACCUAGACAAUACCAGAUGGGCACAUAUGGAGAAUCCUUCUACCAGAGGAUGAAAAGCUGACAUUGCAGGCAAAUGGACCUUAACUGAACUACUUGAUAACCCUGAUUUCCUUAGAAUCAACAGAUAAUCCAGGAUGACAAAGUGGCACUGAACCAGGAAGAAAGGAGGCAGCAACGACACCAAUGGAAGAAUCUUUCAUUUCUGCAGCUAAGUAGUGCAGGUUGAUCUCUUUCUACUAUUCAGUAAUACGGAGCUGUUGGUCUUCCAUAGAGUUGGAGGAUUCUAAUCUCGUGAGCCAUCGGGGUCAGGAGCUUGAACGAUGGUUGGACACAGAGGUGAAGCAAAUGCAACGCCUGGAACAGAGCAAAGGCUGUCUGGGUGGAAGAUAGCACUGCUUCAUAGGAACGGCCCUUGAGUAGCCAGUCAUCGAGAUAUGGGAAAACUAGGAUUGCUUCUUGUUGGAGGAAAGGGGCGUGUCCGGGAGGAGUUAUCGCCGCCGAGGCCACAAAGAGCCAUCUGCUUUGCAUCCGGCCCCUGGGAAGGGGGAUGUGAAUGAGCUUGGGGGGAAAUGCACCUGAUGCAGGGUAACUACAGCAAGCAACUUGCUCUGCACCAAGUGCCGGGGCAGGAAACAGGAGGCGACACCUGCUCAGCAUUCAGCACCCCUGGAGAGCACGUGUAAGUGGGGAGAUUACUGUUCCGGGCACGUCACAGAAAACAAAGCCAGACACAGCCCCUGCCCCAGAGAUUGUACCAGGCCCGGAUUACAGGUGAUGCAAAGCCAGGGCACAGUGAAACGGACGGGAGGCAGGGCUGGGGAGCGGGCCGAGGACUGCGGCUCCUGGCAGGCACUGGGCAUCCAGCAGACAGCGUGAGUGGGAAGGAGACGCUGGAGAGGCGAGUUACCUUGCGCGCCCCGACGGUUUAACUGAUACAUCACCCCACGCACCGUGCCCCCGGCCCGCAUCCCGCAGGGCCCAGCCCCGGGGCAGCCCAGCCCCCAGGACGGCGCUGUCCCCGCCAGGCCGCGCCCGGCCAGCGUCAGAGUCGCUUCCCCACCCCCAUGUGCAGCAGGGGGAAUC